rnacentral:rRNA from 1 species
AGCGAACGCUGGCGGCAGGCCUAACACAUGCAAGUCGAACGAACUCUUCGGAGUUAGUGGCGGACGGGUGAGUAACACGUGGGAACGUGCCUUUAGGUUCGGAAUAACUCAGGGAAACUUGUGCUAAUACCGAAUGUGCCCUUCGGGGGAAAGAUUUAUCGCCUUUAGAGCGGCCCGCGUCUGAUUAGCUAGUUGGUGAGGUAACGGCUCACCAAGGCGACGAUCAGUAGCUGGUCUGAGAGGAUGACCAGCAACACUGGGACUGAGACACGGCCCAGACUCCUACGGGAGGCAGCAGUGGGGUAUCUUGCGCAAUGGGCGAAAGCCUGACGCAGCCAUGCCGCGUGAAUGAUGAAGGUCUUAGGAUUGUAAAAUUCUUUCACCGGGGACGAUAAUGACGGUACCCGGAGAAGAAGCCCCGGCUAACUUCGUGCCAGCCGCCGCCGUAACAC